rnacentral:rRNA from 1 species
GUUGACCUCGGAUCAGGUAGGGAUACCCGCUGAACUUAAGCAUAUCAAUAAGCGGAGGAAAAGAAACCAACCGGGAUUGCCUCAGUAACGGCGAGUGAAGCGGCAAGAGCUCAAAUUUGAAAGCUGGCUCCUUCGGGGUCCGCAUUGUAAUUUGCAGAGGAUGCUUCGGGUGCGGCCCCUGUCUAAGUGCCCUGGAACGGGCCGUCAGAGAGGGUGAGAAUCCCGUCUGGGAUGGGGUGUCCGCGCCCGUGUGAAGCUCCUUCGACGAGUCGAGUUGUUUGGGAAUGCAGCUCUAAAUGGGUGGUAAAUUUCAUCUAAAGCUAAAUACUGGCCGGAGACCGAUAGCGCACAAGUAGAGUGAUCGAAAGAUGAAAAGCACUUUGAAAAGAGAGUUAAAAAGCACGUGAAAUUGUUGAAAGGGAAGCGCUUGCGACCAGACUCGCCUCCAGGGUUCAGCCGGCAUUCGUGCCGGUGUACUUCCCUGGGGGCGGGCCAGCGUCGGUUUGGGCGGCCGGUCAAAGGCUCCCGGAAUGUAGUGCCCUUCGGGGCACCUUAUAGCCGGGAGUGCAAUGCGGCCAGCCUGGACCGAGGAACGCGCUUCGGCACGGACGCUGGCAUAAUGGUCGCAAACGACC